AAGUCGUAACAAGGUUUCCGUAGGUGAACCUGCGGAAGGAUCAUUAACACGUAUCCAACGUUAAACAACCCUGUGAACUUUAAGUCCCCUCUUGCAGCCCAUGAGGAACAGCAAUCCCGUUUGAUUCGGGACCUCUGUCCAAAAGGAGUUGCAAUCGAAGGGUGGAAGCAGUGGCAUGGCUUCCCCAAGCAGUUAGUGAAUGACAGUGUCACUGACUGUGUAAGGAUAACGCCUCACGGUUGCUAGAGGUCGAUCACCGACCGGCAGACAUGUCACAGGGUCACCACGCCCCUUAAUCACUCCACUUGAAAAUGCCCCGCCUAGUGGUAACGCGCUAGGUAAAAAAAACCGAACAACUGUUAACAAUGGAUAUCUUGGUUCUC
rnacentral:misc_RNA from 1 species